AGCGAACGCUGGCGGCAGGCUUAACACAUGCAAGUCGAACGGGCGUAGCAAUACGUCAGUGGCAGACGGGUGAGUAACGCGUGGGAACGUACCUUUUGGUUCGGAACAACCCAGGGAAACUUGGGCUAAUACCGGAUAAGCCCUUACGGGGAAAGAUUUAUCGCCGAAAGAUCGGCCCGCGUCUGAUUAGCUAGUUGGUGAGGUAACGGCUCACCAAGGCGACGAUCAGUAGCUGGUCUGAGAGGAUGAUCAGCCACAUUGGGACUGAGACACGGCCCAAACUCCUACGGGAGGCAGCAGUGGGGAAUAUUGGACAAUGGGCGCAAGCCUGAUCCAGCCAUGCCGCGUGAGUGAUGAAGGCCCUAGGGUUGUAAAGCUCUUUUGUGCGGGAAGAUAAUGACGGUACCGCAAGAAUAAGCCCCCGGCUAACUUCGUGCCAGCAGCCGCCGUAAG
rnacentral:rRNA from 1 species